ACAUUUGGACACACGUGCUUGUGAACCUGCUGAGCUAGUGCAGAGGGUCCGCCUGUCUCCAUAUGGUCAGAGUUAGGUGAAAUGGACCCCAUCCGAAGGUUCCUGAAAAUCGUGAAAGGAUGCAAAUAUUAUUCUCUCCUUUUACAGAAGAAUAAGCUGAAGAGAGGCACCAUGGAGAGACAGCACACAGUCUUCUAGCAAGGGAAAGGCUUUUGAAUAAGAAGGAAAUGUUCUCCGGAGUGGGAGUGCGUGCUGUGUUUCAGAAAUUACUCAAACAUACAUGGAGAAAACAGUUUACAGAACGAACGUGAGCCAGAGUGAAAUCCAGACGUCCCUUCUGCCAGCCCCACCGAUUCUCUCCCAUCGAAGGAAUGUGCUAACCUUUUGAAAAGUGCUUUCGUUUAAAAAAGUAAUGGUCAGAACCCUGCUCAGUCCUUCAGUAACCAUAUUUUACCUCACAGUUGACAUUUAUAUGCCAGCGACUCAUUCGUUACAAAUUCUAAUUGCGAGCAACAAUCCAAAAAAGACAAUGCAAAAGGCAAAAAGAGAAAAGGCUCAGAAACCCUUUGAGAUCCCAUCUAAUUAAAAAUGCAAAUUAAGAAAGAAACCUCAAGUCAUAAGUCCUGUUCCAUCUUUUCAAAGGCACCAAUUACCAGUGAGUCAUUGUGAAAGGGACUGCCUUUAAUUUUAAGUCAAAUUUCUCAACAAUAUCCCAUUGGCAGGAAAUUAAAGCGACUGCCAGCUUAGUGGUACAAUUAACACUUUGACCUUUGUUAUCCAAACUUUAUUCAUUCUUGUUCUGUUUCUCUAAGCAAUCAC